CCAGCUACAAAUAAAAGUUUAAAAGAGAUUACUCAUCUCCUUUUCAGAGCCUGGCUUCCUCUAUUGCAGCCUCCAGCCCUGCAUCCAAGGUGACAUCACCCGUGAAAUCCUAAAUUCAGUCAAUUGCUUCUACCAUAUAAGCAAUGGAUUUGAGAUGUAUAUGUGCGUCCAAACGCUGUCCUCUAGCAGCAUUUUUUUUUUUUUUUUAUAUCAGAUAGGUAUCGUCUUGAAUUUUGUCUGUGGACCAUACCACUCCCUGGGUUGGUAUAGAUACCAUUAUCAUUUAUUUCUUUAUUUCCCCCCUUUUUUUCCCCUUUAAUGUGCAAAUUAUGUCUCCUUAUUCAUAAUCCUUCACAUUACGCAAACC